rnacentral:rRNA from 1 species
UGGGGAAUCUUGCACAAUGGGGGCAACCCUGAUGCAGCGACGCCGCGUGAGUGAUGAAGCCCUUCGGGGUGUAAAGCUCUUUCGGCAGGGACGAUAAUGACGGUACCUGAAGAAGAAGCUGCGGCUAACUACGUGCCAGCAACCGCGGUAAUACGUAGGCAGCGAGCGUUGUUCGGAGUUACUGGGCGUAAAGAGUGCGUAGGCGGUUUUCUAAGUUUGGUGUGAAAUCUCCCGGCUUAACUGGGAGGGUGCGCCGAAAACUGGAAGGCUGGAGUAUGGGAGAGGUAAGCGGAAUUCCUGGUGUAGCGGUGAAAUGCGUAGAUAUCAGGAGGAACACCUGCGGUGUAGACGGCUUACUGGACCAUAACUGACGCUGAGGCACGAAAGCGUGGGUAGCAAAC